AGGGUUUGAUCAUGGCUCAGAACGUACGCUGGCGGCACGCUUAACACAUGCAAGUCGAACGCAGUAGCAAUACUGAGUGGCAGACGGGUGAGUAUAAUGUGGGAAUCUGCCUUUUGGUUCGGAAUAACUCGAGGAAACCUGAGCUAAUACCGGAUAAGCCCUUACGGGGAAAGCUUUAUGCGCCAAAAGAUGAGCCCGCACUUGAUUAGCUUGUUGGUGAGGUAAAAGCUCACCAAGGCAACGAUCAAUAGCUGUUCUUAGAGGAAGACCAGCCACAUUGGGACUGAGACACGGCCCAGACUCCUACGGGAGGCAGCAGUAAGGAAUCUUGCACAAUGGGGGAAACCCUGAUGCAGCGAUGCCGCGUGAGUGAAGAAGGCCUUUGGGUUGUAAAACUCUUUCGUCGGGGAAGAAAAUGACUGUACCCGAAUAAGAAGGUCCGGCUAACUUCGUGCCAGCAGCCGCGGUAAUACGAAGGGACCUAGCGUAGUUCGGAAUUACUGGGCUUAAAGAGCUCGUAGGUGGUUAGAAAAGUUGGUGGUGAAAUCCCAAGGCUCAACCUUGGAACUGCCAUCAAAACUUUCUAGCUAGAGUGUGAUAGAGGAAAGUGGAAUUUCUAGUGUAGAGGUGAAAUUCGUAGAUAUUAGAAAGAACACCAAAUGCGAAGGCAACUUUCUGGAUCGCAACUGACACUGAGGAGCGAAAGCGUGGGUAGCGAACAGGAUUAGAUACCCUGGUAGUCCACGCCGUAAACGAUGACAACUAGCUGUUGGGAGACAAUGUCUUUCAGUGGCGCAGCUAACGUUUUAAGUUGUCCGCCUGGGGAGUACGGCCGCAAGGCUAAAACUCAAAUGAAUUGACGGGGACCCGCACAAGCGGUGGAGCAUGUGGUUUAAUUCGAUGCAACGCGAAAAACCUUACCUACUCUUGACAUACUUGGAAGCUCUUGUAAUGAGAGUGUGCCUUUUGGAACUAAGAUACAGGUGCUGCAUGGCUGUCGUCAGCUCGUGUCGUGAGAUGUUCCGUUAAGUCGGAUAACGAGCGCAACCCUUACCCUUAUUUGCCAGCGAUUCGGUCGGGAACUAUAAGGGGACUGCCGGUGAUAAACCGGAGGAAGGUGAGGACGACGUCAAGUCAUCAUGGCCCUUACGAGUAGGGCUACACACGUGCUACAAUGGGGAAUACAGACGGACGCUAAGCCGCGAGGUGGUGCUAAUCCUAAAAAGUUCUUCGUAGUCCGGAUUGGAGUCUGCAACUCGACUCCAUGAAGUCGGAAUCGCUAGUAAUCGCGAAUCAGCAUGUCGCGGUGAAUACGUUCUCGGGUCUUGUACACACCGCCCGUCACACCAUGGAAGUGGAUUGCACCAGAAGUAGAUAGUCUAACCUUCGGGAGGGCGUUUACCACGGUGUGUUUCAUGACUGGGGUGAAGUCGUAACAAGGUAGCCGUA
rnacentral:rRNA from 1 species